rnacentral:rRNA from 1 species
UACGAAGGGGGCUAGCGUUGCUCGGAAUCACUGGGCGUAAAGCGCACGUAGGCGGACUCUUAAGUCGGUGGUGAAAUCCUGGAGCUCAACUCCAGAACUGCCUUCGAUACUGGGAGUCUCGAGUUCGGGAGAGGUGAGUGGAACUGCGAGUGUAGAGGUGAAAUUCGUAGAUAUUCGCAAGAACACCAGUGGCGAAGGCGGCUCACUGGCCCCGAUACUGACGCUGAGGUGCGAAAAGCGUGGGGGAGCAAACAGG